rnacentral:tRNA from 2 species
GGCCCCAUCGUCUAGUGGCCUAGGAUGCCGCCCUCUCACGGCGGAGACAGGGGUUCGACUCCCCUUGGGGCUACCA